GACGAACGCUGGCGGCGUGCUUAACACAUGCAAGUCGAACGGAGUGGCGAACGGGUGAGUAACACGUGGGUGACCUGCCCUGCACUUCGGGAUAAGCCUGGGAAACUGGGUCUAAUACCGGGUGGGGUGGGAUGGGCCGGCGGCCGUUCGUCUUGUGGGGGGGGUAAUGGCCUACCAAGGCGGCGACGGGUAGCCGGCCUGGGAGGGUGGACGGCCACAUUGGGACUGAGACACGGCGCAGACUCCUACGGGAGGCAGCAGUGGGGAAUAUUGCACAAUGGGCGGAAGCCUGAUGCAGCGACGCCGCGGGGGGGAUGACGGCCUUCGGGUUGUAAACUCCUUUCACCAUCGACGCGGUAGAUGGAGAAGAAGCACCGGCUAACUACGUGCCAGCAGCCGCGGUAAUAC
rnacentral:rRNA from 1 species